CCGAGACAGGGCCGCGGCGGGCCCGGAGCCGGCCCCAGGCAGGGCCCAGGUGCCCUCGCAGCAGGACCUGCCGUGGGGAACCGCCCUUUCACCCACCUUAGCCACACGGAUGAGUUUCAGAUGUCAAAGUGCAGUAGAAAGUUCCAUUCUUUGAUGAGACAAACUAAAAUGAAGAAGGAAACAGGUCAGAUUUCCACAUUUGACAGUUUCCCUGUGCCAAACUGACAUCAACAUGAAUAAUGAAGUGUGUCACAGUAAAGUAAUUCUUUACAGCAGCAACACCAAUACAGUACUUUUCCACCUUCCCUGACCCAUUUACCACUGUCUUCUGAUGCUCCUUUCUGUAGAAAUAGUUGUGAGCUAAAUUAAUAUUGUAUGUUAUGAAAUGCAAGGCUGUUUAUAAUUUUCUGUAAUUUAUCAACAUUAUAUUUGUUAUAAUUUGUAGAGAUAAACCAACCAAUCUUCUGACAUACGUAAGUGGUGCAA